UACGGAGGGGACUAGCGUUGUUCGGAAUUACUGGGCGUAAAGCGCGCGUAGGCGGAUUUGCAAGUCUGGGGUGAAAGCCCGAGGCUCAACCUCGGAACUGCCCUCGAUACUGCAAAUCUCGAGUCCGAGAGAGGUGAGUGGAAUUCCUAGUGUAGAGGUGAAAUUCGUAGAUAUUAGGAAGAACACCAGUGGCGAAGGCGGCUCACUGGCUCGGUACUGACGCUGAGGCGCGAAAGCGUGGGGAGCAAACAGG
rnacentral:rRNA from 1 species